CCUCGCGUCGCCUCCUGUACAGUUUACCGAGUCUCACUUCCUCAGGGGAUCGAGCUCGGAACUUAACCCUAAGAAAAGAUCUGGUUGGAGUAUUGCGUCAGUCGUUCGAUACAUCUUUUAAGCCUGAAAGUGAUGCCACAUCUGCCGACCGCUGGAAAGCGGCCGGCCGUAUUGGAUCCUCUCGCGGCGGACUGAUGGGAGAACACUUUCCAAGAGAUCUGAGCCAUGAGUAUUCAUAAGAGCCUCUGGUCUGAGGACACUCGUCAGCUCAAUCCAACGGAACCGUGACGUUGGCUAAUGUAGGCAGUCCAAAAGAAUGUCGACAGACAAGAAGAGAAACGGCCGAUUGGGAGGCUAGCGGAGAGAGCUGAGCCAAUGUUUGGACACAUACCAUCAGUCACUGCGUUUCCAUUGAACAUGACCUAUGGACUGCCUUGCAGGAACACUUGCCAAGUACGAGCGUAGUGAGGAUUUCAUAGGCACAAACAGAAACACUCGACUGAUACUCCCCGUCACCAAGCUUGACAUGCUCUCGGAUGUCUCGCCGUCAUCCAGGCUCCUCCUCGCCGUGUCACCUCUGCCCGUGUCGUCGACAAGCACUUGGGACCACAUCUGGGGUUACUCUCAACAUGUGUGAUACCACAUCAGGCCUGGCCAGACGCAUUAACUUUCCAUUGCAAGCAUCAGUGAGCAAUGCCGGAAGACGCUAGUCAAUCUUUGUGGUGCCAUUGGCCCUCAAAAACUUCCUUGACAGCCUUCCGAAAGGAAUGAAUCAAGACGAAAGCGCGGUUUUUAUGGAUAUCUUUUGUCCGCGCGUUGAUGCCCUCCUUGCAAGCUAGCAUCGACGAUGCAUGAUGGAGAGGAUACAAAAAUUAGUCCUUGUUGGCAGCGAAGAACACACAGAAGGAAUUGUUGAUUUGACGGUCGAGUCUCGUGUUACUGCGUUUUACCUGGGUCUGGUCACCGAGCCGAUGAAAUCGCGGGAGCAUCUGUCAAUGAAUUCCAUGCGGCCCUGGAUUCUCUGCCCUGUUGAUUGCUACAUGCCUCAUCCCGGGACCCAUCCUGAGUUGGAGUCAAAGUUUCGUACUUGUCUGGGAUUGAAGCAAAUGGAGAAAUUGGCAUGGAGAUGAACGGAAGCUGGUAACUAGUUGGCCCCCAAUCAAUUGGUUUCAAAGAGCAGGCCUCGAAGGAGCAAGGCAGCUCUGGUUGUCCUCGUGCCAGCAAUGGUGAGAGGACAGCCCCCC
rnacentral:telomerase_RNA from 1 species